GACGAACGCUGGCGGCGUGCUUAACACAUGCAAGUCGAACGGAAAGGCCCUGCUUGCAGGGUGCUCGAGUGGCGAACGGGUGAGUAACACGUGGGUGAUCUGCCCCUUACUUUGGGAUAAGCCUGGGAAACUGGGUCUAAUACUGGAUAGGACCAUGCUGUAGGUGGUGUGGUGGAAAGAUUAGUUUCGGUAAGGGAUGAGCUCGCGGCCUAUCAGCUUGUUGGUGGGGUAAUGGCCUACCAAGGCGUCGACGGGUAGCCGGCCUGAGAGGGUGGACGGCCACAUUGGGACUGAGAUACGGCGCAGACGCCUACGGGAGGCGGCAGUGGGGAAUAGUGCACAAUGGGCGCAAGGCGGAUGCAGCGACGCCGCGUGGGGGAUGACGGCCUUCGGGUUGUAAACUCCUUUCAGCGAUGACGAAGCCCUUGUGGUGACGGUAGUGGUAGAAGAAGCACCGGCUAACUACGUG
rnacentral:rRNA from 1 species